rnacentral:tRNA from 1 species
GCCGAAGUGGUGAAAUUGGUAGACGCAGAGGACUCAAAAUCCUCCGAACUUUAUGUUCAUGCGAGUUCAAGUCUCGCCUUCGGCACCA